rnacentral:rRNA from 1 species
UACGUAGGGGGCGAGCGUUGUCCGGAUUUAUUGGGCGUAAAGAGCGUGUAGGCGGCCAGGUAGGUCUGCUGUGAAAACUCGAGGCUCAACCUCGAGACGUCGGCGGAAACCAUCUGGCUAGAGUCCGGAAGAGGAGAGUGGAAUUCCUGGUGUAGCGGUGAAAUGCGCAGACAUCAGGAAGAACACCCGUGGCGAAGGCGGCUCUCUGGGACGGUACUGACGCUGAGACGCGAAAGCGUGGGGAGCGAACAGG